rnacentral:tRNA from 1 species
GCAGGUGUAGCUCGGUUGUAGAGUACUUGCCUAGCAUGCAUGAGGCACUGUGUUUAACUCCCAGCACCAUCA